UACGUAGGGUGCAAGCGUUGUCCGGAAUUAUUGGGCGUAAAGAGCUCGUAGGCGGUUCGUCGCGUCGGCUGUGAAAAACCCGCAGCUCAACUGUGGGCUUGCAGCUGAUACGGGCAGGCUUGAGUUCGGUAGGGGAGACUGGAAUUCCUGGUGUAGCGGUGAAAUGCGCAGAUAUCAGGAGGAACACCGGUGGCGAAGGCGGGUCUCUGGGCCGAUACUGACGCUGAGGAGCGAAAGCGUGGGGAGCGAACAGG
rnacentral:rRNA from 1 species